rnacentral:rRNA from 1 species
AGUCGAGCGGACAGAAGGGAGCUUGCUCCCGGAUGUUAGCGGCGGACGGGUGAGUAACACGUGGGUAACCUGCCUGUAAGACUGGGAUAACUCCGGGAAACCGGAGCUAAUACCGGAUAGUUCCUUGAACCGCAUGGUUCAAGGAUGAAAGACGGUUUCGGCUGUCACUUACAGAUGGACCCGCGGCGCAUUAGCUAGUUGGUGGGGUAAUGGCUCACCAAGGCGACGAUGCGUAGCCGACCUGAGAGGGUGAUCGGCCACACUGGGACUGAGACACGGCCCAGACUCCUACGGGAGGCAGCAGUAGGGAAUCUUCCGCAAUGGACGAAAGUCUGACGGAGCAACGCCGCGUGAGUGAUGAAGGUUUUCGGAUCGUAAAGCUCUGUUGUUAGGGAAGAACAAGUGCGAGAGUAACUGCUCGCACCUUGACGGUACCUAACCAGAAAGCCACGGCUAACUACGUGCCAGCAGCCGCGGUAAUACGUAGGUGGCAAGCGUUGUCCGGAAUUAUUGGGCGUAAAGGGCUCGCAGGCGGUUUCUUAAGUCUGAUGUGAAAGCCCCCGGCUCAACCGGGGAGGGUCAUUGGAAACUGGGAAACUUGAGUGCAGAAGAGGAGAGUGGAAUUCCACGUGUAGCGGUGAAAUGCGUAGAGAUGUGGAGGAACACCAGUGGCG